CAGGAAAAAAGAUACACAACUUGCAGCCAUAACCGCAAAGUGUUGGUAAACUGGCCACCUUUCCUUUGCCAUGUCUGGAAGUCCUCAGAAAAGGCGGCUAGUGUCGCCCCGCGCGGCUGCUCGGUCCUCCCUCCAUUGCAGACGGUGGUACUCACGCGGUGCCGUCGCCAUCGGUGGUCCUCCCGGUCUCCUUCUGUCCCCGGAGCGAGACUUGUGGAAAGGAGACACGACUCCACGCCUCGUGGGCGGGACACGAGGAAAAUGUCAGCGUCUGUGAUCGAAUGAGACCCUUCCUCCUUUGGUGAUGCGCACCAGCAAAAGGAAUUUUCUCCACACUGAGCUGGGAUCAUCACAGACUCACUCCGUCAGACUGCUGCUGGUGAAACUUCAAGCAAACAACUUCAAUUCACUGAAGAAACAACUGCCUGUAUUCAAGUCCACAUUAUAUAUCAUGCAUGACAUCAAAAAUAGCAUUUUUCACAUAAUUAGUUUCAUAGACAAACAGAUAAAUCCAAUUUUAGAUGUUUUACAGGCACAAAAGCACAACUGCUGCUCUGGGAGAGUGAAUAAAUCCAUACAUAAAAGAAAAAAUACAUAUAUAUAGAUAAAUAAACGUACAUGAAGAGCU